CCUACGGGUGGCAGCAGUGAGGAAUAUUGGUCAAUGGGCGAGAGCCUGAACCAGCCCAGUCGCGUGAGGGAGUACUGCCCUAUGGGUUGUAAACCUCUUUUGUCGGGGAGCAAAAGCCGGACGUGUCCGGCUGUGAGAGUACCCGAAGAAAAAGCAUCGGCUAACUCCGUGCCAGCAGCCGCGGUAAUACGGAGGAUGCGAGCGUUAUCCGGAUUUAUUGGGUUUAAAGGGUGCGCAGGCGGAUUUUUAAGUCAGCGGUAAAAUCGUGGGGCUCAACCCCAUCCAGCCGUUGAAACUGGGGAUCUAGAGUGUGCGAGAGGUAUGCGGAAUGCGUGGUGUAGCGGUGAAAUGCAUAGAUAGCACGCAGAACCCCGAUUGCGAAGGCAGCAUACCGGUGCACAACUGACGCUCAGGCACGAAAGCGUGGGUAUCGAACAGGAUUAGAUACCCCGGUAGUC
rnacentral:rRNA from 1 species